rnacentral:rRNA from 1 species
UACGUAGGGCGCAAGCGUUGUCCGGAAUUAUUGGGCGUAAAGAGCUCGUAGGCGGCCUGUUGCGUCCGCUGUGAAAACCCGGGGCUUAACCCCGGGCUUGCAGUGGAUACGGGCAGGCUGGAGGCAGGCAGGGGAGAACGGAAUUCCCGGUGUAGCGGUGAAAUGCGCAGAUAUCAGGAGGAACACCGGUGGCGAAGGCGGAUCUCUGGGCCGUAACUGACGCUGAGGAGCGAAAGCAUGGGGAGCGAACAGG